GGAGCACGAGAAGAAGGAAAGAAUAGUUCAGUUUUUGGCAAAAUGUUCACUUCAGCUUGAGAUGUUAAGAUCUGCGAAUUCUUUUCUCAAGAUGAAGGAACAAAGCAAAAAGGAGGCUAAUUUUUUUCAUUUAGCCUUAAAGAUCUGAUUGAUAUUUAGAUAGCUGGAACUUGGAAGCUAAUGGAAGUUGUGACAACCCCACCUU